ACAGCACAUGAUGGAGACGAUGAUGAGGAGGAGACCAUCUCUGAUUCCAGAAGGCAUGAGGACCCAGAUGCUAUACAGUGGGAAAACCAGCCUGGCAACAUAAGCUCACAAGCUAUCAGAAAGUUGUAUGGCAACCACCUCCGGCGCCAAAUAGAACUGGCAGAUACAGACAUUCAGUACAAGAAGAAAAAGAUGGAAAAUCUUGCACUGGA